rnacentral:tRNA from 2 species
GGGGAUAUGGUGUAGGGGUAUCACGUUCGCUUUGCAUCGAUUCAGAAGCAUGCGAAAGGUCUGGGGUUCAAAUCCCUAUGUCUCCA